AGAAAUUCAACGUAGGAGGGUGGUGAUCCAAAUGGAGUGGAGGAGUGGAGGUAGGCAAGGCAGGCUCGAAAACACACACAGCUGGUGGCGUGGCUGGAAGUGAAGAUGCUGUAG